UGCCGCUGCCGCCGGGUCGCGCUGGGGAGCGGGAGCGGGUCGGGACGGCGAUGGCGCGGACUCUCGUGGAGCUCUUUUACGAUGUGGUGUCCCCUUACUCCUGGCUGGGGUUUGAGGUGCUCUGCCGGUACCGGCAGAUCUGGAAUAUUGAUCUGCGCUUUCGUCCAGCUUUCCUUGGGGGCAUAAUGCAAGCAACUGGUAACAAGCCCCCAGCAAUGUUGCCAAAGCGUGCAGAAUACAUGUUGAAGGAUGUAAAACGGAUGGCAAAAUACUACCAAGUGCCUGUACAAAUUUCAGAAGAUGACUUCCAACGUAUUAUUGGUACAAGCAGUCUUGGGGCCAUGCGCUUUAUCACAGCCAUUGAUAUGACACAACCACAAUACUUGGAACCCUUAUCUAGGGAGUUCUGGAUACGUUUUUGGUCACAGCAUGAAGAUAUCAGUCAGCCGGAGAAUAUGUUGGCUGUUGCUGGACAGGCUGGGCUAUCAUCAGAGCUCUCCCAGAAGCUACUUGAAAUGAUUUCAUCCCCUGCAGUGAAGAACCGACUGAAAGAGACAACAGAGGAAGCAAUAAAAUAUGGGGCUCUGGAGACUCCCCUACUUUCUGAUGGCUCCAUUAGACUCAUCUUUAAGAAUGAAGAAGGCAUUUGGGAUGCCUGCUGUUGUGGCACAUCUUAAUGGAAAACCUCAUCUCUUUUUUGGCUCUGAUCGUUUAGAGCUCCUAGGAAGCGUUAUAGGUGAAAAAUGGCUGGGACCCGUUCCAUCAGUUCCAAGCCCCAAGAUGUGAAAAGUCCUGGGGAAAUGUAUGGGAAUGAAAAUAUAUAUGUACAUGGUUAAUCUUCACUGAUCAUCUGAAUGUACCCAAUUUUAUGGAGAGAUAGCUUUCUUAUCCUUAACAGCUAACUUUACAGCUCAGUCUCAUCUCUAAUUAUGAAGAAUUUCAAGGUUUGCCAGUAUUACCAGCCUGGUGAGGUCUUUACUAACACAAAUGUGCUUUUUUUCUUUCAACAGAUUAAUGAUUAACAUGAAAGAUUAAACGUAAAAUACUUAACUUCUUGCAGAUUAAACACCCUCCUGAUUAGUUCUCUUUCUCUUACACUAAAAGCACGAGGAUUAAAUUGUUGGUGUGGAACUGAGAUCUCUGGAUUUCUCCCUAAAAGUGUAAGGAUUAAAUUGCUAUGGGACUACAGUCUCUGGAUUUCUUGUAUCUUCCUGCUUGUCCUUUAGAAACACACACAUACAGCCUAAGAGAAGCUGGCCACAUUCUCCUUUUAUUUUACGUCCAAGGUACUACACAGACACUAGAAGCACAGGACAAGGUAUUCACACUUCCCUUUACUCUGCAAUAUGGCAGUUGGAGGGGACACAGGAGAGAAGAGUGGAAGAGAGAGGGACAGUUCAAGCCCAAAGAAAGAUCUAGGGAACUAAUCAAGUAGUUCAAAAGGAACUGUCCCCCUCCCAGACAGUAUUUUAUACACCUUGCUCUGCAGUGACUGACAUUUGAGACCACCCCACACACAUGCAUUCUCAGGCACCAACCCCAGACCUUGCAGGGGUUUUUAAUCAAUAAUUUACA